AGAGUGAACGCUGGCGGCAGGCCUAACACAUGCAAGUCGAACGGCAGCACAGUAAGAGCUUGCUCUUAUGGGUGGCGAGUGGCGGACGGGUGAGGAAUACAUCGGAAUCUGCCUAUUUGUGGGGGAUAACGUAGGGAAACUUACGCUAAUACCGCAUACGACCUACGGGUGAAAGCGGAGGACCUUCGGGCUUCGCGCAGAUAGAUGAGCCGAUGUCGGAUUAGCUAGUUGGUGGGUAAACGGCCCACCAAGGCGACGAUCCGUAGCUGGUCUGAGAGGAUGAUCAGCCACACUGGAACUGAGACACGGUACCAGACCUCCGUACGGGAGCAGCACGGUGGGGAAAUUAGUUAGGGAACGUAGU
rnacentral:rRNA from 1 species